rnacentral:rRNA from 1 species
UUUACGGAGAGUUUGAUCCUGGCUCAGGAUGAACGCUGGCGGCGUGCUUAACACAUGCAAGUCGAACGGUGAAGCAGAGCUUGCUCUGUGGAUCAGUGGCGAACGGGUGAGUAACACGUGAGCAAUCUGCCCCUGACUCUGGGAUAAGCGCUGGAAACGGCGUCUAAUACCGGAUACGAGCUGCGACCGCAUGGUCAGUAGCUGGAAAGAAUUUCGGUCAGGGAUGAGCUCGCGGCCUAUCAGCUUGUUGGUGAGGUAAUGGCUCACCAAGGCGUCGACGGGUAGCCGGCCUGAGAGGGUGACCGGCCACACUGGGACUGAGACACGGCCCAGACUCCUACGGGAGGCAGCAGUGGGGAAUAUUGCACAAUGGGCGCAAGCCUGAUGCAGCAACGCCGCGUGAGGGAUGACGGCCUUCGGGUUGUAAACCUCUUUUAGCAGGGAAGAAGCGAAAGUGACGGUACCUGCAGAAAAAGCGCCGGCUAACUACGUGCCAGCAGCCGCGGUAAUACGUAGGGCGCAAGCGUUAUCCGGAAUUAUUGGGCGUAAAGAGCUCGUAGGCGGUCUGUCGCGUCUGCUGUGAAAACCCGAGGCUCAACCUCGGGCCUGCAGUGGGUACGGGCAGACUAGAGUGCGGUAGGGGAGAUUGGAAUUCCUGGUGUAGCGGUGGAAUGCGCAGAUAUCAGGAGGAACACCGAUGGCGAAGGCAGAUCUCUGGGCCGUAACUGACGCUGAGGAGCGAAAGGGUGGGGAGCAAACAGGCUUAGAUACCCUGGUAGUCCACCCCGUAAACGUUGGGAACUAGUUGUGGGGUCCAUUCCACGGAUUCCGUGACGCAGCUAACGCAUUAAGUUCCCCGCCUGGGGAGUACGGCCGCAAGGCUAAAACUCAAAGGAAUUGACGGGGACCCGCACAAGCGGCGGAGCAUGCGGAUUAAUUCGAUGCAACGCGAAGAACCUUACCAAGGCUUGACAUAUAGAGGAAACGUCUGGAAACAGUCGCCCCGCAAGGUCUCUAUACAGGUGGUGCAUGGUUGUCGUCAGCUCGUGUCGUGAGAUGUUGGGUUAAGUCCCGCAACGAGCGCAACCCUCGUUCUAUGUUGCCAGCACGUAAUGGUGGGAACUCAUGGGAUACUGCCGGGGUCAACUCGGAGGAAGGUGGGGAUGACGUCAAAUCAUCAUGCCCCUUAUGUCUUGGGCUUCACGCAUGCUACAAUGGCCGGUACAAAGGGCUGCAAUACCGUGAGGUGGAGCGAAUCCCAAAAAGCCGGUCCCAGUUCGGAUUGAGGUCUGCAACUCGACCUCAUGAAGUCGGAGUCGCUAGUAAUCGCAGAUCAGCAUCGCUGCGGUGAAUACGUUCCCGGGUCUUGUACACACCGCCCGUCAAGUCAUGAAAGUCGGUAACACCUGAAGCCGGUGGCCCAACCCUUGUGGAGGGAGCCGUCGAAGGUGGGAUCGGUAAUUAGGACUAAGUCGUAACAAGGUAGCCGUACCGGAAGGUGCGGCUGGAUCACCUCCUUU